GCCUCAGUAAGAGACAGAAAGAGGAAAGAAAGUGAGAGAAAUAUUAUGGACUGCAGACAGGAGUGUUUCUGUGGCUAGAUGUAAGAAAGUAAAGGUAGUUUACCCUGUUUUAUGAGCACUACAGUUCAGCAGCACCCUUUGAUGGAUGACUACUCUCAGCCAGAGGAGGCAUCCAGGGAGACUGUGAGUGCUGAAGCCGGAUUUUAGAAAGUGGACUCCCCAACAAAGAAAGUAGAGCCAGAGGGGAGGAAACAACCACAAGCUGUGGACCAAAGUGCCCGUCUGUCCCUGUGAAGAGGAGAAUACAGAGAGCCAAGUUUGAAGGGAGAAGGCAAAGAAGAAGCCCUGCAGCCCAGAACAGGACGCAACUGACUGCGGCACUUUCCACCACCCGCCCAGAAAUAGACUGAGAUUCAACUGUGGCCCAGAUUGAGAAGCCUUUACUCGGAGGUCGGCCAUCCCUCUUCUUGUGUACAGAUCACAGAAGGAGUGGAUCGUCUACGCAUGGAGGAGUGAAGCUGUGAGCAUGUGCUUCUUUAAGUGUCCAGCGUGUACCAGCAACACAUCAUAGAAGGCAUCACCACCCACAGUGGACAGGGCAGUUUGUGGUAAUAAUCAUGACCGGCAGCUUUUGUCUAGACUUGUCCAUGCAAACAGACAAGUUCCAGACAAGUGACUCCCCACCCUUAUCUCCCACAGAAUCGGCCUAGCCUGCACCCUGAGCCGGCCUUCACGCUACCGCCAGAAGAAGACUGAGACUGCUCCAGUUCAGACCCACGCACUGGUCAGCAGCGUGCCCGCCACCUCACGCCGCCGUCCUGCACCGACAUGCAGUGGACUGCGGCACCCGGGCAGUCGCUGCUGCUGGCAGCAGAGUAAGUCUACCCUUUUUUUUUUCUUUUUGUCUAGUGUGUGUGUGUGUGUGUGUGUGAUUGAGACUAGGGCUGCCAUGACCUGUUAGUGAGUGACAGUGAUAUGACAGUGCCAUCUUGUUGCUGUGGUUUCAGACAGGGCUUCUGGUGAGGUGCAUUUAUAAAGCUGUGGUUUUUGAGCGUGAGUGUGUGUGUGUGUGAUAGCUCGUCUCCUUUGCUGACUACAUCGCCUCAGACAGUCUCAGCCAUUACCGGCUGCUGAAUGGCUCUUUUUUUUCUCGCUUGGAGCUAAAGACGGAUACAAUAAAGCUCUCGUGAGAUUUUAGACCCAGUAGAGCGACAGACUUGAGAAUGUGUGUAUUUGUGUAUCUUAUUCAUUUCUGUGUCUCCUGUUCAUUGUAAUGUCUAUAUGUGUGUGUGUGUGUGUGUGUGUGGCCAGCACGCGGCGUCUGUGUGUGGCACAGCUCCUCCACGCAUUUGCCAGUCCUCUGUGCGCAUGUGUGUGUGAGGCUGCGUGUCUUUUGUGCAAAGCGCGGCAUGCAUGUGUAUGAGAGAGAGACAGAGAGAGAGAGAGAGAGACAGAGAGAGAAAGGCAGAGUUUUAGCAUCACCCUCCACCAGCACGCGAAAGGAAGGAUGCUGGAAGAGAAAGGGCGAAAAAGGGCGAGAGACAGAGGGAGUGACUGAAUAAGAGAAAGAGAGGGAAAGGGGCAGAGAAGACUAAAGAUGGAAGACUGAAGGAAGGGACAGGUGGCGUGGUGGUGGCAUGGGCGAGCACAGGAAUGGCGAUUUCUCUGUCUCUCUGUUUCUUUCUCUCUCUCUCUUUUUCUUUCUCCCAUUCCUUCUCUAUGUCCCUCGCCCUCUCCCUCCGGACCAAAACGUGCCUCUCUCCUUCCCUGAGACCCUAACUUGUGACGUUCUGCCUUGAUGUCCACGGGUUGGGUUCUCGGGAGCUGCGAGGGGCGCUCACGCGUCUGACCCCGAUCUGGACCAGACCGAUGACUAGACGAUGGACGAAAGAAUCGCGGGGGGGUGGGAGGGUUGAUGUGGCCCACUGCGGUCCUUUUAUUUUUUGCUGUUUGUGUAAUAGCAAAGCUAAUAGUUGUCUAUUAGCUUGUAUUGGUUCUAUUGGCUGCUAUUGAGUCAGUGGUUGUCAGCCAGCUUUUUUCUAAGCAAGGGCGAAACAUGUCCGAGUUAUUGUUCGUGCUGAAGGACCGCGCUGGACCAAUGCUUUAGACAGAGGUUAGAGAAAAAAACGAUAGGAUGUUCAAUACUAUAAAGUAUACAGUAUCGCUCACAAGUUCCGCAGUUAUUAGUUAUAUUAGACUGUAGGUGGACCCAGUCUGUUAGGAUCAAGAUGAAGACGAUAAUGGAGAUAAUGGCGAGAAAAAGAGAGAGAAAGAGAAAGAAAGCAAGGGAGAGGGUGAGUGAGGCAGAGGUGGUGGAAUGUAGACCUUAGGGUCAUGUGAUAGGGCGAGAGAGAGAGAGAGAGAGAGAGAGAGACACUCACAGAAAGAGAGAGAGAGAGAGAUGUGUGUUUUUAGGUUGGGGUGAUGCGGGGCCAAAGUGGGUUUGGCCCAAAUGUAGCUUAUGUUUAGAAUGUGAGUCAGUAGACUGAAAUGGCUGUAUGAGAGUGUGUGUGUGUGUGUGUGUGUAUGCGUGUGUGUGUAACGACAUCUGUUACACCCUCGAUCCACACCCAGAACAGUGUGUGUCUCUGUCUUGCAUGUGUGUGUGUAAUUGUGUGUAUAUAACGUGUGUGUGUGUGUGUUCCUGUGUUUUAUUCACACACAGUCUUGAGAGCAGCACAACGUACUCUUUUGAGCGUAAUUCCGACAGCUCGGUACACUUGUGUUUGACCUCAUGAGACCUUUCGCCGCCAGGAGGGGCAUCUUUCAGUGCGUGUGUGUGUGUGUGUGUGUGUGUGAUGUUACAGAUCUUUAUCUCUUAUCUGUGUUUGUAUUUAUUGCCUUCAUCAUUGGUCAGCGUGUGUUCACCUGUGCUUCAAAACUUUAAACUGUGCCAUUAUGCCCAAUAUGAGCGUUGAAUUGAGUGUGUGUGUGUGUAUGUAUUAGUGUGUGUGUGUGGAAGUAAGUGAGUGAGUGAGCAAGUGUUAAGUGUGCAGCAUAGUAACAAACAACGGCAUCAUGGAAAGAUGGCAGGUGUGAUGGAGAUGGAGAAAGAGGCAGAAUCAGGUGUGUGUUUAGGAGAAAUAGAGACAGAGCGAGAAAGAGAGUGAGAAAGAGGCGUGAGCAACGUGUGCGAGAGUGUGUGAGUGUGUGUGUGUGUAUGUGUGCGUGUGUGUGCGCGCAUGCAUGUGCUUGUGCUCCGCAGGCCUGGCGUGUAAGAUGGAGCUCUUGUCUCUCUUCGGCUGCGUUCCAAACGCCGCCGCGUUCCCUCUCUUGCGCCCUACGUCACGCAACUCCAACUCAAUGGAGGCUUCGUCUCAGUCAGUGUAAAAAAGGGAGCAGGGAGAUGAGUCAUUUGAAGCACAGCCGUGAGGACAGCCCCUGUCUGGAACACACACACGGGAGGGUUUUUCGGACUGACACAAUAACACACUAAACUGUUAGAAUGGGCCGCGCCGUCUGUAAAAAGGCCUCGUUAAUGCCGCGCCCUUACUGUACAUACCGUUUCGUAAAUAUUAUGAUAUAUUUACGUAAGAAAAGCUGCAUUUUUUGCAUUUCGUUUAAUAUAUAUUAUGAAAUUUAGCGAUUUAGAUUUUAGAUUUAGUUUGUGCAAAAUAUUAGUACUUAAAUAUGCGCCAAUAACUCGCGUAAUCGGCACACGAACCUCUAUUUAUGUGUAUUUUUGUGAUUAUAGCCCUGUUUCAAACCGCAGUUAACUCUUAAGCUAAACUCUUAAUGAUAUUACUCGAAUUCUCCGUUCUCCAUGGUGCAGCAGAUCAGCACAUCAUCCUCUCUCUGAUUGGCUGGUCUCAAAUCACACAAUGUACCUACCCACCGACCAACUUACCCACCUACCUACCUACCUAGCAACAGUAUUGCAGUGUUUUAACCCCAUGAUGUCUGUGUGUAGUGUAUUCACAUUCAGUUCGGGAUAUUCAGCGAUUAUCAGCGUGAAUUUUCCAGAAUUUAGCUUUCAUUUAGUCUUAGAUUUCAUUUGUAAUUACUAGAAUAAUGAAUGAAAUAUAGUAAAGGCACUAUACAUAUAUUACUAUAUGUUAAAUAUAUGCUUAAAUUGUCAGUCUUUUCUGUAAAAUUAUAAUGCUGCUGCUUUGUAAGCACUGGUGGUGUUGUUAUGUGUAGUUAUGUGUGUAUGAGAUGGAGUUACUACUUAAUAGUAGAAGAGCUUUGUAUAAUAUUGGUGCCCCCACAAUGUAUCUCAGCCUCUCUGCCAAACACAGUACAGUGAAGGAACUAGCUAUUGUAUUAUAUAUAGCUCUGGAAAAAAAUGUAAAGAACGUUUCAGUAUUUGAGUCACUGAUUUUGCUUUUUUUAAUUUUUAUACGUACAUGUCUGAGUAAAAUGAACAUUGUUGUUUUAUUUUAUAAACUAUGGACAACCUUUGUUCCAAGUUCAGAAAUCAAUAUUUGGAGGAAUAACCCUGGUUUUUAAUCACAGUUUUCAUGCAUCUUGGCAUGUUCUCCUCCACCAGUCUUACACACUGCUUUUGGAUAACUUUGUGCCACUCCUGGUGCAAAAAUUCAAGCAGUUCAGCUUGGUUUGACGGCUUGUGAUCAUCCAUCUUCCUCUUGAUUAUAUUCCAGAGGUUUUUAAUUUGUUAAAUCAAAG